rnacentral:lncRNA from 1 species
UAACAUACGAUAAUAAUCACUAUAAUAUGGUUAUAAGAGAAAAAACAAUUUCUCGUAAGAAGUUGCACGAAACACACCAACAUUUUUUCAAGCUGGACAAUAAUAAGUUAAUUACAAAAUACAUGUCUUGUGAGAGGAAAGUUAAAUAAGUACUUAACAAACACUAACAUUAUAACAUUGACCUACUUUCCUUUAUUCUUUGCACAUAUAUUGCAAAAUUAUAAACCACUAUUUUCCCAAGCCUACACCCUAAUCGCCUUCCGAUCUCUCUCUUGCCUGAUACUUUCUGAUUGCUAUCUGAAGAGCAAUAAUAAACAAUGAAUUACGCUAGGGUCACUUCCUGUGAUUUUGGAUUUUUUUUUAAAAAAAAAAGAAACAAACAAAAACUUUAACUUGUUCAAUAUCUAAGGAAUUCUAUUAAACUUGUACCAAUGGAAUAAGGACAACAUAUGUACAAAGGAGUUCACAAUAACUUGUUUUUAUAACUGCUUUCUUUAAAUUUUCCAAAGGAAGAGCUAGUAUAGACAAAUGUUGCUAAUUAAAUGUACUACUUUCUCUGUCCCAAUUUAGGUGAUUGUUUUUUGUUUAUCGAAAUUCAAACUAUUUAAUUUUGGCCGAUUUGGACAUAAAUCUUCAAAUUUUUUGAAAUAAAAUUUGCAUAUUUAGAAAUUAAUUAGAAGUACUACAAAUCACAAUAAUUAAUGAUUAACAUAUUCAAAAGACAUAUGAAAGUCAAAGAACAAUUUGUUUGACUGUUGAAAUAUUCCAACACCAUCACAUAAAUUGGAAGGGACGAAGUAUUAUAGGAAAAAUAAACACAACUAUAUGUUAAUUACCUCAUAGAUUUCAGUGUCUUCUGUUCCUGCGCCGUCUUCGACCUGCCCUCUGUGCUGUAUAUGUCAAUUCAUGAAUGAGAGUUGCAAAAAAGUGUAUGAACCAUCUUGGCCUUUGAAAUCGGUAAAUGAAAUAGCCAAUGAUAAAUCCAAAAAUCAAGCCACAACCAUAUCCAAUUAAGACAGAGCUCCAAGUCAUUUCACUAAGAAAACUCGGCUCAUCAUCUUUUUC